UUACGGCCAUAUCACGUUGAAACUUCACUUUUCAUAGGAUCACUGAAGUUAAGCAACGUCGAUCCUGAUCAGUACCUAGUUGUGUGACCAUUUGGGAAUACCAGGUGCUGUAA